AUGCGCCUAACAAAGCGAUGUACAUGUGAAGCAAAGGGAUGUGUUGGUGCUGUUUUUUAUAGAGCAAGGAGCAUACAAGUGAAUGGCAUAGCUUGUGUAAAGGUAAAUAAUGGAGGUGUUCAGAGUUGGAGCAUGUCAGGUUUGCAAGAUGCGGUUGGAGGAAAAGGAGAAGAUGGUGGCCUAGCUGGACAUCUACAUCAGUGUGCGUGGUCGUGGUGUGUGUCAGCGAGCAGUUGGAUGGAGGUUCAUAUCAUAAUCCAUCUUUGGGGUAAUUUUUCUCCCCGGUCUUUGGAUCCACACCUCUGUAUCUUGUUAGUGUUUGUACUUCAAGUUGAAGGCUUCAUAAUGAGGUUUGGCAUUUUGGCCCAGUGGUAUGGUGCACUAGAUUGCGAGGCAUGCUCGAACUUGUGUGAGUAA
rnacentral:rRNA from 1 species